GAUGAACGCUGGCGGCGUGCCUAAUACAUGCAAGUCGAGCGAACGGACGAGAAGCUUGCUUCUCUGAUGUUAGCGGCGGACGGGUGAGUAACACGUGGAUAACCUACCUAUAAGACUGGGAUAACUUCGGGAAACCGGAGCUAAUACCGGAUGAUAUUUUGAACCGCAUGGUUCAAAAGUGAAAGACGGUCUUGCUGUCACUUAUAGAUGGUUCCGCGCUGCAUUAGCUAGUUGGUAAGUUAACGGCUUACCAAGGCAACGAUGCAUAGCCGACCUGUGAGGGUGAUCGGCCACACGGGAACUGAGACACGGUCCAGACUCCUACGGGAGGAAGCAGUAGGGAAUCUUCCGCAAUGGGCGAAAGCCUGACGGAGCAACGCCGCGUGAGUGAUGAAGGUCUUCGGAUCGUAAAACUCUGUUAUUAGGGAAGAACAUAUGUGUAAGUAACUGUGCACAUCUUGACGGUACCUAAUCAGAAAGCCACGGCUAACUACGUG
rnacentral:rRNA from 1 species